UACGAAGGGGGCUAGCGUUGUUCGGAAUUACUGGGCGUAAAGCGCGCGCAGGCGGCUAUCCAAGUCAGUGGUGAAAGCCCGGAGCUCAACUCCGGAACUGCCAUUGAAACUGUUUAGCUUGAGUAUGAGAGAGGUGAGUGGAAUUCCCAGUGUAGAGGUGAGAUUCGUAGAUAUUGGGAAGAACACCGGUGGCGAAGGCGGCUCACUGGCUCAUUACUGACGCUCAGGCGCGACAGCGUGGGGAUCAAACAGG
rnacentral:rRNA from 1 species